rnacentral:RNase_P_RNA from 9 species
GUCUUGUGUCGGAUAGCCGCUGUUGGUGGCAUUGCUCAUCGACAGAGGAAAGUCCGAACACUCCCGCCGCACUUUUCAAUGCGCGGCGGAGCAAGGUAGCGGGUAACACCCGUCGUGCGCAAGCACAGAGGUGCGAGCAGAGACGCGUAUUCCGGAAACGGGAUGCGGCGCCGCUUUGGCGGCGUAGUUCCGAUAGUAAUACCGGAGGUGAAACGGCUAAAUCCUUACCUGGGUGCAAGGUCGUGUCCCGCUCUUCGCGGGAAGUACCGCUCGAGCGCCGUGGCAACGCGGCGCCAAGAUAAAUGGCUAUCGUUCCGAAGCUUCGGCAGAGGGAUACAGAAUUUGGCUUAUAGACACAAGACUCUU